AUUAAGACAAAAAAUACAACUUACCUUAAAUUUUAAGGUAAUCUUUAAGAGGGAAAAAUAGUCACUUUACAGUAGAGAGACUAGGCAGACACCACCUUAACCAAGUGAUCCAAAUUGAUGUCACCAGGAAUAAGACAUAUGAACACCAUGUGCCCCCAAUAGGAUGCACUGAGAAGAGCACAAUGUCACAUCUGGGGUAUUCUUGCUAAAACUGCAUAACCUUGGCUGGUGCGCGGUGGCUCGUGCCUGCAAUCCUAGCACUUUCGGAGGCCGAGGGGCGUGGAUCACCUGAGGUCAGGAGUUCGAGACCAACCUGGUCAAUAUGGUGUAACCCUGUCUCUACUAAAAAUAUAAAAAUUACCUGGGUGUGGUGGUGGGCGCCUGUAAUCCCAGCUACUCGGGAGGCUGAGGCAGGAGAAUCGCUGGAACCCAGGAGGUGGAGGUUGCAGUGAGCUGAGAUCACACCACUGCACUCCAGCCUGGGUGACAAGAGGGAAACUCUGUCUAAAUAAAUAAAUAAAUAAAUAAAUAAAUAAUAACACUUAGUUUAAAACACAUAUAUUGUACAGCUAUACAAAACUAUUCUUUUUUCAUGUAUAUAUAUUUUUUUAAACUUUUUUUGUUAACUAAGACACAAACACACACUUUAGCCUAGGCCUACACAGGGUUAGGAUCAUCAAUAUUGCUCAUUGUCUUCCACUUCACAUCCUUCCAAGGUCUUCAGGGCCAGUAACGCUCAUGGAGCUGUGAUCUCCUAUAACAGUGACUACUUCUGGAAAACCUCCUGAAGGACUUGCCUGAGACUGUCUUACAGGGUAGCCUUUUUUUGUUUUUAGGAGUAUACUUCAAAAUGAUAAAAAACUAUAAUAUAGUGAACACGUAAACUAGGAACAGCUGUUAUGAUCAAGUAUUAGGUACUGUACAUACUUGUAUGUGCUAGACUUUUAUAUGACCGGCACUGCAGUAGGUCUGUUUACAACAGUAUCACCACAAACACAUGUGUGUUGCACUGCGACAUGAUGGUGGCUAUGAUGUCAUUAGGUGAUAGGAAUUUUUCAGCUUGUUAUAAUCUUAUGGGACUAUCAUUAUACAUGCAGUCAUAUGCAGAAAUGUUAUAUGCUGCAUGACUGUAUCUUGGAUGAAUUGCAGCAUUUCACACUCCAAGGCAAGACCAGAGUAGUGACAGAGCAGGGGGUGGCCCUGGUGUUCAGGUUCCUGCAUCUUCUGGGGCCUGAGGUUGCAGGCAACCUGGUCCUCUGGAAAAAUGCCAAUCACAGCGCCAACACCUGAAUGUCCUGGGGAAAUAACUCAGUGCUACCUGUAUUAACUUCCAUCAUUUUCUCUGGAGUUUUAGGGUGGUUAUGUUUUGAUGCUGAUUUGGUUUUCAGGUUAACCUCAGUUUGACUCUCCAUAGAGGUGACUGGAAGCUCUUUCCUCUGAUGUUUCUCAAAGCCUUUCAUACUUUGGAACUGGAAGACACUAUAAUAUUGUGUCAAUUAGAUGUAAAUCAGUUUCUAAAUCAUAUAUUACCAUUAUGAUAUUUUGUUUAUAAUUUCUAGAUUAUUUGGCAUUAAUAACCUCCACAAAUGGCCACCAAGUCAUUUUCUCUUGCACAGUAAACAAGAGCUUCCUUAGUCACUUACUUGGCAUUGAACGAACCCUCCUUGCCCGUGCCUCCCCCUGCCUGCUUCUCAGUGCUGCGGUCACGUGGCUGCAGGAGGCCCUGAGCUCCUGAGCAGAGCAAAGCCUGUAAGGUGGAUGCAGGGCAUAUUCUCAGGACACCCUAUCAGCCGGCCUGAUAUUUGAUCUACAGGAGCAAACUCAGAGAGAGAGAGGGACAGUUUUGCCUGCAAAUGUGAACCCUGACCUAAAGACGGCUGCUCAAAAUAGCCCUCAUCCUCUUUGCCUAAGCCUGAUAUGCAAGCUUUUAUCUCAGUUGCCCCUGGUCACCUGCCUUUCUUACUUGACUCUGCAGUUCUCCAGGUGGCUAUUCCUGGAUGGCACUCAUCCAGAAAGGGUCAUUGCUCUUUUUUCUCUUUAUUUCACUACCAGAGAUUAUUUCGAUAACAUUAUGAUUUACAAACCAUAAAAUUCAUACAUUUCAAGUGUACAAUUCAAUGACUUUUUAAUACAUUUACCAGGUUGUGCAACCGUUACUGAAAUCCAGUUUUAGAACAUUUUUGUCAUCCCGGUUAGAUCCUUUAUGCCCAAGUAGUUAAUUACCAUCUUCACCACCAACUCCAGGUACCCACUAAUCUACAUUCUAUCUUUAUAGAACUGCCUUUUCAGGAUAUUUCACUUAAUCAGACUAUACCCAGUCAUUUGUGUCUGGCUUCUUUCACUUAUAAUGUUUUUGAGAUUCAUCCAUGAUAUGGCAUGUCAGUGAUUUUUGUGAUGGUGGGUUCCUGCUGCCCCCACCCCCAAAAUUCCUUAAAGGUGCUAAGCAACCUGCUCUUUGAAUAACCACCCCGCUUUUCCCUAGGCUCUCCUGCUGUCAGUUUCCCACAGUGUUGUCGGCUUUCAUCUCUCAGUGGCUUCACCUGACUGAGCUGCCUGCCAUCUCUAGUGUAUCCUCCAGGCCUCGCCUGGCUCCCUGUUCCCCCCACACUGGCUUCCUGCUCUUCCUCCAAAGGCCUGGCUGGUUCCUGCCUCAGGCUCUGCCCAUUGCUGCUGUCCUCACCAACCCCCAAAACGUUGCCCAUUGUUUGUCCCCUCAUUCCGUUCGGGUCUUUGUCCGAAUGUUGCUUCCUGAAAGAGGCACCCUGACCUCGACUCAAAUAGCAUUCCUUCUCACGGACUAUUCAUUUGCCCCACUUUGUUUCUUCACAGCUCUUUUUAUUCCUGUUUCUUGUUAAUUCCUGAAAUUAUACUUUGUUUAUUAUCUUGUUAAUAGACUCGUGGGUAUCUUAGUCUGUUUAAGCUGCUAUAAGAAAAUACCAUAAACUGGUGGGUUGUCAACAACAGAAAUUGCUCUCUCACAGUCCUAGAGUCUGGGACAUCUAAGAUCAAGGCACUGGCAGAUUUGGUGUCUAAUGAGGGUUGCUUCCUGGUUCAUAGGUGACACCGUCUCCUGUGUCCUCACAUGGUGGAAGGGAUGGGGCGGGGGGGUCUCUCCUUGGGCUCUAAUAUAAAGGCACCAGUCCCAUUCAUGAGGAUUCCGCUCUCAUGACCCAUCGCCUCCUGAAGGCCCUGCCUCCUAAUUCCAUCACUUUGGGAUUUACGAUUUCAACAUAUACAUUUCGGGGAGGACAUAAACACUCAGACAACAGCAGUAAGAGAGCUGUUUCGGCUGGGCAUGGUGGCUCAUGCCUGUAAUCCCAGCAUUUUGGGAGGCUGAGGUGGGUGGAUCACCUGAGGUCAGGAGUUCAAGACCAGCCUGGCCAACAUGGUGAAACCCCAUCUCUACUAAAAAUACAAAAAGAUUAGCCGGGAAUGAUGGUAUGCGCCUGUAAUACCAGCUACUGGGAAGGCUGAGGCAGGAGAAUCACGUGAACCCAAGAGGUGGAGGUUGCAGUAAGCUGAGAUAGCGCCAUUGCACUCCAGCCUGGGCCGUAACAGCAAAACUCCAUCCCAAAAAAAGAGUGCAGUAUCCAAGGCCCAGCUCCUGGGGUUACUGCCCUGCCUGCCCACCUCCUGGCUGGGGAACUUGGACCUUUGCCAAAUGGGGAAAAGGUAUUAUGUGCUUCCUAAGGUUGUGUGAGGACAAACAUUCAUCCACACAGAGUGCUUGCAGCGGGUGGCACAGGGUAAACAUGAGCAAGAUAAUUUACCAUCUGUCUCCUCCCUGGAAUAUCAACUGGAUGAGGGCAGGACAUUUUCUCUCUGCACCUUCAGCCCCUGAGAUAUGGAGGAUGAGAAUGGCUCAAUGUUCCUCCUUCAAGGGCCUCAGUCCUCAUCCCACUGGCCUGACCACCCCAACAGUAUGACCUUUGCCUCUUUACAGCAACCUCCACAGCUUUCCAGCCUGUCCUUAACCUGCCUUUGAGUCUUUGCAACUCCUUCUGGGCAUUAGCUAUGUGGCCUGCUGGGAACUUCCAGAGGCUGGUAAAACUGACAAACCUUGAGAGACUGGUGACAGGCUUCCUUAGUUGAAACUUAUCCUUUUCAAACUUGUAGCACCAUGUGUGUGUAGCUGCUUAAGCUUUAGUGGGAGUAUUUAAGAAACAUGAUUAAUUGGAAAGUUUUAUAAUAUUCCAGGUAAGUCCAUAGUGAACAUAAAUGUGACUUUAUCUUGCUAAGGUAACAAAUGCUCUGGUGUGCUUAGCAGGGCCUUGUGACAAAGCAGUGAGGCCACCUGUGCAACAUGUACAACUUUUUCUUUUUCAAAACAGUCCUAAAAAAACUAAACAUAUAAGUCCUCUGUGAUCGAGCAAUUCCACUACUGGGUAUGAAUCCAAAAGAAAGGAAAUCAGUAUAUCAAAAAGAUAUCUGCACUCCUGUGUCUACUGCAGCACUAUCCACAACAGCCAAGAUAGGGAAUCAACCCACGUGCCCAUCAGCAGAUGAACAGAUGAAGAAAAUGUGGUACAUAUAUACAAUGGAAUAUGAUUUAGCCAUGAAAAAGACUGAGAUCCUGUCAUUUGCAGCAACAUGGAUGGAACUGAAGGUCAAUAUGGAGUGAUCUAUGCAGGAGAAACAGCUUGGGAAAUGCUGAAAUUUCUGACUGUAAGAAAUGCUUGGAUAUAUGUAUCUGUUUGUUUGGAUAAUUUACUCAUGUGAUCUCUUGGAACCAAGGAUCCUUGGAUCCAAGGAACUCUGAUUUCUAGGAAUACUUUGUAAACAAAUCAAUAUACAAAUAGGUGAAUAAUCUGAAUUUUCCAGCCCAGUGAUUUUUGAAAGGAGGCAUCCAAACCAAAAGAGCCCCAGAUCAGAUUUUUACCCAACUAAGUGGUCAGUGUUUGUUUAUGACAGUGAACCCCCUCUGACAGCUUCAUCACCUCUAACAAACAAACAAACAAGGGAGACAGAGUGGAUGAACAACUUAUUUUCAAAGCUAACAAACAUUCUAUGACUUAACUGCUUGAAAACUAACUUGUUGCAGAAAGGUGAAAUGCUUUAUUCUCACAGAAAACUCCACUUCUGGAGUUGCCCCUCAAUAUGAAGAAACCGGAAGUAAAAGCCUGUCAUUCUUAAAUAACAUUUAUUAUUGUUGCAAAGAAGUCUUCUCCAUGAGAACAGUUCUCACAUUUAUUUAAAGAUAUAGAGGUUAUGGAUAUAGAUAAGUAUGCCCGACUAUGAUCCUUAAUUCAGCAAUCUAAUAUUCACAAUGUGUUUGUUGC
rnacentral:lncRNA from 1 species